rnacentral:rRNA from 1 species
GUGGGGAAUUUUGGACAAUGGGGGAAACCCUGAUCCAGCCAUGCCGCGUGCGGGAAGAAGGCCUUCGGGUUGUAAACCGCUUUUGGCAGGAACGAAACGGCGCGUGCUAAUACCGCGCGCUAAUGACGGUACCUGCAGAAUAAGCACCGGCUAACUACGUGCCAGCAGCCGCGGUAAUACGUAGGGUGCAAGCGUUAAUCGGAAUUACUGGGCGUAAAGCGUACGCAGGCGGCUGUGCAAGACAGGUGUGAAAUCCCCGGGCCCAACCUGGGAACUGCAUUUGUGACUGCAUAGCUAGAGUCCGUAAGAGGGGGGUGGAAUUCCACGUGUAGCAGUGAAAUGCGUAGAGAUGUGGAGGAACACCGAUGGCGAAGGCAGCCCCCUGGGAUGAGACUGACGCUCAUGUACGAAAGCGUGGGGAGCAAACAGGAUUAGAUACCCCAGUAGUCC